rnacentral:lncRNA from 1 species
ACAACAAGCGUACCUGAUGAUGAGGACACCACGAGUACAUCUACACUAGCAGCACCUCAGGCGCCUCUAGUUGCUUCUCCACCUCAGGCACCUACAAUUGAUCAUCCAGUUGGGCCAAUCACUCAGGUCCGUGCGGGAGAAUUAAACUUCAUCAUGUUGUUAAGGAACGAAGGCCCAGCGGAAUAAGAAGAUGGCCCAACAGGGCAGCCCAGGUGGGGCGCCUAGGGUUGGGAGCCGCGGCCCUCCCCCUGGUCGCGCGCCCCCCUCCUACCGUGGCGCCUCCUCCCGACUCCAGGGGCUGCGCCCCCUUUAUUUAGUCGGAGUCCCUUUUGUUUACAACUUGAGUUUUGUUUUACAUAUAGCUUUAGCUACUCUCGAACACGCGCAAAUACGCGCUGUCCUCGUGUGAUUCAGAACUCCACCUUCGAGUGAUAUUGAGAUUGCUCGCGUCUUUUUCUUGUUCGUUUUUCGAUUGCGUGCAGGAAACGAUCUUCGUGAUGAGGCUGAUCUCGCACUGGCGAGGUUGGUAACCAUCGGGAGUUGGUUCAGCGAUUGCAUUGGCGCUUCGGGUUCGCUCGUCGUAGUCGGAUCGUGAGGGUCUACUUCCACCAAAUCGAAAUUAUCUCCACUCACCGAAAGAUCGGGCACUCCGCCUCUAUCACCUGAGGUGGAAGUACUAUUACUUCCACCAUUCUUCAACGAAGCUAGG